GUCCGAAGAGAACCAUAACUGCCGAGAAAUUCAAAGAAUACCACGAAACAAUUAUUGUGGAAAAGCAGGUAAAGAAUAAUUCUUACUGUGAAUGUAUUGACAUUCCGCCGAGUAAAACACCGUACAAUAUUCAAACUCACUUUAGGGCCUUAAUAAUAUGGUACAAGUCAAAUCGGCACCUGGUUAAAUCGACAUCUAGUCAAAUCGGCACCUAUUUAAAGUCAAUUAGGCAUCCAAUAAUAAAUAUAAA
rnacentral:lncRNA from 1 species